CAGAAGUUAGUUAAAUUUAUAACAUAUAUUUGUCAUAUCUAAAUUGCCUUUUCAGGCACUUCUUU
rnacentral:tRNA from 1 species